rnacentral:rRNA from 1 species
AAUAUUGGACAAUGGGCGCAAGCCUGAUCCAGCAAUGCCGCGUGGGUGAAGAAGGNCUNNGGAUUNUNAAGCCCUUUCGGCGGNNNNNAUGAUGACGGUCCCCGCAGAAGAAGCCCCGGCUAACUUCGUGCCAGCAGCCGCGGUAAUACGAAGGGGGCUAGCGUUGCUCGGAAUCACUGGGCGUAAAGGGCGCGUAGGCGGCGUGAUUAGUCAGGCGUGAAAGCCCUGGGCUCAACCUGGGGACUGCGCUUGAGACGGUCAUGCUUGAGGGCGGAAGAGGCUCGCGGAAUUCCCAGUGUAGAGGUGAAAUUCGUAGAUAUUGGGAAGAACACCGGUGGCGAAGGCGGCGAGCUGGUCCGUACCUGACGCUGAGGCGCGACAGCGUGGGGAGCAAACAGG